GACGUAGGGCGCGAGCGUUGUCCGGAAUUAUUGGGCGUAAAGAGCUCGUAGGCGGUUCGUCGCGUCGGCUGUGAAAACCUGAGGCUCAACCUCAGGCCUGCAGUCGAUACGGGCGGACUUGAGUACUGCAGGGGAGACUGGAAUUCCUGGUGUAGCGGUGAAAUGCGUAGAUAUCAAGAGGAACACCUGAGGUGAAGACGGGUUGCUGGGCUGACACUGACGCUGACAGCGCGAAAGCUAGGGGAGCAAACGGG
rnacentral:rRNA from 1 species